rnacentral:rRNA from 1 species
AGCGAACGCUGGCGGCAGGCUUAACACAUGCAAGUCGAGCGGGCCCUUCGGGUCGAGCGGCGGACGGGUGAGUAACGCGUGGGAACGUGCCUUCUGGUCUGGAAUAACCCUCGGGAAACUAGGGCUAAUACCGGAUACGCCCUUUUGGGGAAAGGUUACUGCCGGAAGAUCGGCCCGCGUCUGAUUAGCUAGUUGGUGGGGUAACGGCCUACCAAGGCGACGAUCAGUAGCUGGUCUGAGAGGAUGACCA